UCUAAAUGCUGCUAAACAGAAAAAGAGCGGGAAGGAUGAGGAAAUUGUUUCCCUACGUGCAGAACUUGAGAAUUUGAAAGACGAGGCCACAGCUGCUGCAGAACGGCUUCAAGAAGCGGAAUCCGAAGCGAAGUCUCUUCGCACAAUGACUCAAAGGAUGAUUUUAACACAGGACGA